rnacentral:rRNA from 1 species
AACAAACGCUGGCGGCGUGUCUUAAGCAUGCAAGUUGAGCGGCAAGGAGGAGAGAUCCUCCCUAGAGCGGCGGACUGGUGAGUAACGCGUGGGUAAUCUAUCUUAGGCAUGGGGAUAGUCACUAGAAAUAGUGGGUAAUACCGAAUAAGUUCCAUAAGGGGAGGACUUAUGGAAGAAAGGUGCUACGGCACUGGCCUUAGGUGAGCUCGCGUCCCAUUAGCUAGUUGGUGAGGUAAAGGCCCACCAAGGCGAUGAUGGGUAGCCGGCCUGAGAGGGUGUACGGCCACACUGGGACUGAGAUACGGCCCAGACUCCUACGGGAGGCAGCAGCUAAGAAUAUUCCGCAAUGGACGGAAGUCUGACGGAGCGACGCCGCGUGGAUGAAGAAGGCCGAAAGGUUGUAAAGUUCUUUUGCUAGGGGAGAAUAAGUGUGGGAGGAAUGCCUGCACGAUGACAAGGACUAGCGAAUAAGUCCCGGCCAACUACGUGCCAGCAGCCGAC